rnacentral:lncRNA from 1 species
CAGCGUUGGAAUCCUAAAAGAAUUCAUCAUUACAUAAACAAACCAAUGAGCGCCCACUGUUAAAACCCAAACUGAUAAUUCCGUUUCUGUUUGAUCUUCACUUUUAUGGUUGUGAGAACCACAUCCCCCACACCACAGUGCCGGCGAAGACACUGAGGCGGUCGCCGGCGGUACCAAUGCUACAUUUCCGGCUAAUUCACCACCUCGUGAAGAUCUCCGGCCUCGGCUUCUCUGGUUGCCUCAAGGACUGUACGGACCUGGCCCAUAGAGUCUCACUCUUAACUCAUUUGCUUGAAGAAAUUGGGGAUUCGAAGAAAACCCAUAAAUAUCAUGAAACUUCUUUAAAUUCUUGCUUCUCUGAUCUCUCACUGGCUCUCCAGGCUGCUAUAAGGCUCCUCUUUGCUGCUAACAACUUCGAAGAUUCCAAGAUUUCCUCUGUAUGUAUAUACAAUACUGUGCUGUGAGGCUUCCUUUUUUUUUUUUCUUUUUUUUCUAGUUAAGAUGUGUGUGUACAUGGCCUAAUUGGUACAUUGCAUUGUUUAACUGGAGUGGAUGAAUCGAAAUCCCUGUCUCUAGAUUGGGAUUGGUAUCGAUUAUUAUAUAGUGUUUCUUUGACUGAUCAAGAAUGUUAACCGUUGUCCGUGGCUAUAUAUAAUGUUUUCUGCAGCUCUGAUCUUGUUGAGUUUAAUACCAGAAAUAAGAUUUUAUUAUUCCUGUAUCAAUUACACACACCACCAUCUCACUAAAUUAAUAUAUAGCAAAGACUAGCCCC